rnacentral:rRNA from 1 species
UACCAGCACCCCGAGUGGUCGGGACGUUUAUUGGGCCUAAAGCAUCCGUAGCCGGUUCUACAAGUCUUCCGUUAAAUCCAGCUGCUUAACAGAUGGGCUGCGGAAGAUACUAUGGAGCUAGGAGGCGGGAGAGGCAAGCGGUACUCGAUGGGUAGGGGUAAAAUCCGUUGAUCCAUUGAAGACCACCAGUGGCGAAGGCGGCUUGCCGGAACGCGCUCGACGGUGAGGGAUGAAAGCUGGGGGAGCAAACCGG